rnacentral:rRNA from 1 species
AAUAUUGGACAAUGGGGGCAACCCUGAUCCAGCCAUGCCGCGUGUGUGAAGAAGGUCUUAGGAUUGUAAAGCACUUUAAGUUGGGAGGAAGGGCAGUAAGUUAAUACCUUGAUGUUUUGACGUUACCGACAGAAUAAGAACCGCACAACUUCGUGCCAGCAGCCGCGGUAAUACGUAGGGUGCAAGCGUUAAUCGGAAUUACUGGGCGUAAAGCGAGCGUAGUUGGUUCAGUAAGAUGGGUGUGAAAUCCCCGGGCUUAACCUGGGAACUGCUUUCAUAACUGCUGAGCUAGAGUACGGUAGAGGGUAGUGGAAUUUCCUGUGUAGCGGUGAAAUGCGUAGAUAUAGGAAGGAACACCAGUGGCGAAGGCGACUACCUGGGCUAAUACUGACACUGAGGUGCGAAAGCGUGGGGAGCAAAC